GCUAGCGUAGCUUACACAAAGCGUAACACUGAAGAUGUUAAGACGGACCGUAGAAAGUCCCACAAGCA
rnacentral:tRNA from 1 species